UCCAUGUACGGCUGCCCUGCAGGAUCUUUGCACAGCUAUGCAGAUGGGAGAAUGGAGAAACUCUGAACAAAUGAUGAAAAUAUUAAUGAAGUGGAAUACUGCCGAAAUAAUGACCAAGAUUUGGGCCACAACCUUGUAUCGGUUGGCAUGUGGAGGCAGAGGUAAGACCUGGGGCUGGUCCUGCUGAGCACCAAGGUGCAGCUGUGGCCCUCACUGCGCUGCCUCCAGCCUGCCCUCGGAUUUUGCACCUUUAGGGCUCUGCUGCCUGCCAAAUGCCCAGGACUGAUUAACAUACUUAAUCAUUUCUCCUCAUCAGUGUCAUUUUCUUGAUGCCACCCUGUGUUCCUGCAAAGAAGCCACAUGUGGAGCUUCACUUGCUUAUAUAUCUGACAUCCUCUCAUCCAUCUGGUGGGUGAGCAGUGCUGAUCUGAGCUGGUAAAAAGGGGUCUUACCCCAUCUGGACGUUUGUCCCCUGAAAUGGAAGUGAUGGGGACACCUGGCUUACUAGAGCUUGGUGGCAGGACUAGGGACACGAAGAGGGCAGCGCCAAUUCAGCACAAAUUGGUGAAAGUAAGAAAUGAGGACCCUGAGAGCACCACAAAAGAGGGGCUCAAGCA